CGUUCUGUAAGCCUGUGAAGGUGUGCUGUGAGGCAUGCUGGAGGUAUCAGAAGUGCGAAUGCUGACAUAAGUAACGAUAAAGCGGGUGAAAAGCCCGCUCGCCGGAAGACCAAGGGUUCCUGUCCAACGUUAAUCGGGGCAGGGUGAGUCGACCCCUAAGGCGAGGCCGAAAGGCGUAGUCGAUGGGAAACAGGUUAAUAUUCCUGUACUUGGUGUUACUGCGAAGGGGGGACGGAGAAGGCUAUGUUGGCCGGGCGACGGUUGUCCCGGUUUAAGCGUGUAGGCUGGUUUUCCAGGCAAAUCCGGAAAAUCAAGGCUGAGGCGUGAUGACGAGGCACUACGGUGCUGAAGCAACAAAUGCCCUGCUUCCAGGAAAAGCCUCUAAGCAUCAGGUAACAUCAAAUCGUACCCCAAACCGACACAGGUGGUCAGGUAGAGAAUACCAAGGCGCUUGAGAGAACUCGGGUGAAGGAACUAGGCAAAAUGGUGCCGUAACUUCGGGAGAA
rnacentral:rRNA from 1 species